AACGAACGCUGGCGGCAGGCUUAACACAUGCAAGUCGAGCGCCCCGCAAGGGGAGCGGCAGCCGGGUGAGUAACGCGUGGGAACGUACCUUUUGGUUCGGAACAACUCCGGGAAACUGGAGCUAAUACCGGAUAAGCCCUAACGGGGAAAGAUUGAUCGCCGAAAGAUCGGCCCGCGUCUGAUUAGCUAGUUGGUGAGGUAACGGCUCACCAAGGCGACGAUCAGUAGCUGGUCUGAGAGGAUGAUCAGCCACACUGGGACUGAGACACGGCCCAGACUCCUACGGGAGGCAGCAGUGGGGAAUAUUGGACAAGGGGCGCAAGCCUGAUCCAGCCAUGCCGCGUGAGUGAUGAAGGCCUUAGGGUUGUAAAGCUCUUUUGUCCGGGAAGAUAAUGACUGUACCGGAAGAAUAAGCCCCGGCUAACUUCGUG
rnacentral:rRNA from 1 species